rnacentral:ncRNA from 1 species
AAAAAAGCAUUGAUGAAGAAGAGUAGGCUUUACGAUCGUUUUCAGAGAGCUGAUGGUUGGUGAAAAUCAGUACGUGAUAAAGUUGAAUGGGCUUCUGAGCUUCUAGGCUGAAUGGAUAGUAGGCUUAGCGGAUUGUCUUACCGUUACAAGAGACUACGUAUCGAAACAUUGUUUUCCGUACGGACAAGUGCGUUUAUUUGAAGAUGAACGAAUGAAGGUGGCACCACGGGGUUACUCGUCCUUUUU